rnacentral:rRNA from 1 species
AUGUGGCAUAAUUUUCAGAAAUAUUUUCAUGGUGAUGUGUUUGGAAGGUUGUGGCCUGCUGCUAGGGCAUAUAGGCCGGAAGAAUAUCAACAUCACAUGUCAAAGGUAUUUGAUGCAUCUGAGAAAGUAUAUCAUUACCUUAGGGAUUACCAUAAUCUAUUAUGGAUGAGGUGUAUGUUCAACCCUGCCAUCAAGUGUGACUUCAUAAAUAACAAUCUCGCCGAGUGCUUCAACGCUUGGGUGCGAGAUAUCAAGGACUUGCCGAUUGUUCAGCUAGCUGACAAGAUUAGAGAGAUGAUUAUGGAACUAUUUAGAAAAAGAAGAAUGAUUGGAGAAAGAUUUACAGGGAUAAUACUUCCAUUUGUCAUACACCAACUAAAUGCAAAGACUCGAGGACUAGGUCAUCUCAAGGCUAAAGCAUCAGCUGAUUGGAGUGGGGAAGUGAAAAAUGCUAACAAAGAGGAUGAAAGACAUGUGGUCAAAACUCUCACACAUGAGUGUACAUGUCUGCAAUGGCAGCACACGGGCAAGCCUUGCGACCAUGCACUAGCCUUCAUAAAUGUCUUGCAAGCUCGCAACUUUGUUAACAUGGAGGACUAUGUACAUGAGUACUACUCAGUUAGCAGAUUUAGGGCAGCAUAUGAAGGUGUAAUUGAGCCCCUUACGGACAAGAAUUAA